CAAACGAGCGCAACCNUUGUCUUUAGUNGCCAUCAUUAAGUUGGGCACUCUAAAGAGACUGCCGGUGUCAAACCGGAGGAAGGUGGGGAUGACGUCAAGUCCUCAUGGCCUUUAUGACCAGGGCUACACACGUACUACAAUGGCAUAGACAAAGGGCAGCGACACCGCGAGGUGGAGCGAAUCCCAUAAACUAUGUCUCAGUCCGGAUUGGAGUCUGCAACUCGACUCCAUGAAGUUGGAAUCGCUAGUAAUCGUGGAUCAGCAUGCCACGGUGAAUACGUUCCCGGGCCUUGUACACACCGCCCGUCACACCACGGGAGUUGGUUGUACCAGAAGCAGUUGAGCGAACUAUUCGUAGGCGCAGGNNGCCAAGGUAUGAUUGGUAACUGGGGNGAAGUCGUAACAAGGUAUUCC
rnacentral:rRNA from 1 species